rnacentral:lncRNA from 1 species
AAAGAAAUAAGAAAAACGAGAAGUUUUCUCACUUUUGAAGCUUAGGCUUCUUUUGCUUGUCUUUUCUAUUGGGUGUGAAUCCCUUAAAAAGAAAGUUAGAUCUUUAUCUUUGUAUGUGAUUCACAUAGAUAUUGAUUCUUGUUCUUAUCACAAAGUCAUUUCGCAACUUUGUGUUACGAACUUUGAUGCACCCUUGAAACCGGUGAUCAAUAAGAUUGAUGUGAUUCCGAGCCUAUAUCAUUUGGUAUCAGAGCUUAAAGCUCAUAUCUAAUCAUUUAUCC